rnacentral:rRNA from 1 species
GACGAACGCUGGCGGCGUGCUUAACACAUGCAAGUCGAACGGAAAGGCCCUGCUUUUGUGGGGUGCUCGAGUGGCGAACGGGUGAGUAACACGUGAGUAACCUGCCCUUGACUUUGGGAUAACUUCAGGAAACUGGGGCUAAUACCGGAUAGGAGCUCCUGCUGCAUGGUGGGGGUUGGAAAGUUUCGGCGGUUGGGGAUGGACUCGCGGCUUAUCAGCUUGUUGGUGGGGUAGUGGCUUACCAAGGCUUUGACGGGUAGCCGGCCUGAGAGGGUGACCGGAGACAUUGGGACUGAGAUAAGGCCCAGAAUCCUACGGGAGGAAGCAGUGGGGAAUAGUGCACAAUGGGAGGAAGCCUGAGGCAGCAACGCCGCGUGCGGGAUGACGGCCUUCGGGUUGUAAACCGCUUGCGCCCGUGACGAAGCGUGAGUGACGGUAAUGGGUAAAGAAGCACCGGCUAACUACGUG